UACGUAGGGUGCGAGCGUUAAUCGGAAUUACUGGGCGUAAAGCGUGCGUAGGCGGUUCGUUAAGUUCGUUGUGAAAGCCCCGGGCUCAACCUGGGAAUGGCAAUGGAAACUGGCGGGCUGGAGUAUGGCAGAGGGGGGUGGAAUUCCGCGUGUAGCAGUGAAAUGCGUAGAGAUGCGGAGGAACACCGAUGGCGAAGGCAGCCCCCUGGGCCAAUACUGACGCUCAGGCACGAAAGCGCGGGGAGCAAACAGG
rnacentral:rRNA from 1 species